rnacentral:rRNA from 1 species
AUUGAACGGCGGCGGAAUGCUUUACACAUGCAAGUCGAACGGCAGCACGGGGGCAACCCUGGUGGCGAGUGGCGAACGGGUGAGUAAUAUAUCGGAACGUGCCCAGUCGUGGGGGAUAACGUAGCGAAAGUUACGCUAAUACCGCAUACGAUCUAAGGAUGAAAGCGGGGGAUCGCAAGACCUCGCGCGAUUGGAGCGGCCGAUAUCAGAUUAGGUAGUUGGUGGGGUAAAGGCUCACCAAGCCAACGAUCUGUAGCUGGUCUGAGAGGACGACCAGCCACACUGGGACUGAGACACGGCCCAGACUCCUACGGGAGGCAGCAGUGGGGAAUUUUGGACAAUGGGCGCAAGCCUGAUCCAGCCAUUCCGCGUGCAGGACGAAGGCCUUCGGGUUGUAAACUGCUUUUGUACGGAACGAAAAAGCCUUGGCUAAUACCCAGGGUCCAUGACGGUACCGUAAGAAUAAGCACCGGCUAACUACGUGCCAGCAGCCGCGGUAAUACGUAGGGUGCAAGCGUUAAUCGGAAUUACUGGGCGUAAAGCGUGCGCAGGCGGUUAUAUAAGACAAAUGUGAAAUCCCCGGGCUCAACCUGGGAACUGCAUAUGUGACUGUAUAGCUAGAGUGCGGCAGAGGGGGAUGGAAUUCCGCGUGUAGCAGUGAAAUGCGUAGAUAUGCGGAGGAACACCGAUGGCGAAGGCAAUCCCCUGGGCCUGCAC